rnacentral:rRNA from 1 species
AAUGAACGUUGGCGGCGUGGAUUAGGCAUGCAAGUCGUACGGGUCGGUGUAGCAAUACAACGGCAAGUGGCGAAAGGGAGAGUAACGCGUAGAUACCUACCCUCUGGUCGGGGAUACCGCGGCAUAACCGCAAGUAAUACCCGAUAAUAUCUCCGGAUCAAAGGUGUGAUUCCGCCGGAGGAGGGGUCUGCGUUUCAUCAGCUUGUUGGUGAGGUAACGGCUCACCAAGGCUAAGACGAAUACGGGGUGUGAGAGCAUGCCCCCGCUCACUGGGACUGAGACACUGCCCAGACACCUACGGGUGGCUGCAGUCGCGAAUCUUCGGCAAUGGGCGCAAGCCUGACCGAGCGACGCCGCGUGCGGGAUGAAGGCCUUCGGGUUGUAAACCGCUGUCGAGGGGGAUAAAGUGCAGGUGGGUUCUCCCAUUUGUUUGAUAGAUCCCUGGAGGAAGCAUGGGCUAGGUUCGUGCCAGCAGCCGCCGUAACAC